GCAUGACCAUCUCUAGGUCCAUCCAUGUUGCUGCAAAUGGCAUCAUUUCAUUCUUUUAAUGGCUGAGUAAUAUUCAUUGUAUAUACGCACCACAUCUUCCUUAUCCAGCCCUCAGUUGAUGGACAUCUCGGUGGCUUCUACGUCCUAGCUACCGUAAACACUGCUGCAAUGAGCACUGAGGAACCUCCAUGAUGGUUGUCCAACUGGGUAUAGAUCGGAAGGUCUCCAAGAUGCCCUCCUUGGAUUCAAUUUGUCUGCUAGGUCGGCUCACAGAGCUGAGGAAGACUUGCUUAACUUCCUGGAUUCCCAGCUUACUAUAAAGGAUACAGUCAGGUGAAGACCCCCCGAUGGGGCGUGGGCACGGGCUUUCCUGCCCCCGAGACGCACACUCCCAGCCCCCUGGCUCGCCAGCCGGCCUGCCCCUGCCUGGGACUUCUGGGUUUUAUGGAGCCUUGCCUCCCAGGAUGACUGACUGGCUCCUCAGCCUCUGAUGGAUUCGCCCUCACCCACUCUGAGCUCUGGUGGCUGGGACGGGGUGGAAAGUUCCAACCCUGUAACCACUGAGUGGCUUCUCCCGGGAACCAGCCCCCACCCCUGGUUGGCAUCCAAAAGUUCCCUUGCCCGGUACGUUGUCCAGAAUUGAGGACAAGACAGACAUGAUCCCAUCCCUCAGGAAACCCCAAGGGCUCGGGAGCCGUGGGCCCUCAGCCCACCUCCCCAGAGUCAGCCGGGUGCUGUGGGAUCAUGGUUUGUUUCUUUUUACUGCUGGGCGGUGCCCAGGGCUCGUGUGCCAGUGACCUGCUGAAGGGCUGGGCUGCUCCAGUUCACUGCAUUUAUUUCUGAUGAGUCAAGGUGCCGGGAGCCUCUGUGUACAGGUUUCCCAGUGAACAGUUAGUCCUUCUCUCAAACAAACUCCAGGACAGCUUGGUUUUGUAAUCACCGAGAGCAUCGGUAUUUAUUUAUUUCUUAGAGAAAUAGGAAAUCACUCAGUGAUGGGCUGUUAUAAAUACAGGUGCCAUGCCAACCGCCCCUGCUGCGUGUAUGGGCCCUGCUGUCCUCUGCGUUCUCUGCUUUACCCCGCUUUGGCCAUCGUGUGGAUGGACCCCUGGCCCUGUCAAAGGCUGGGGCUGCUGGGGGUCAAUCAGAAGCUGCUUAGAACAGGACUCGGACAAACUGAGUGGGAAAAGGGAAACCACACAGGCUCUGCCUGGUAGAGUCCUCAGCAGAACAGCUAGAAUGUCGCUCAUUCAUUCUUUACACAGCCCUCCCUGUGCACACCCGACCUCCACCUGUGGAGAACUAGAGCUUGGCUGCCUCCUGCCUGCCUCCCGGCGCUGGGAUGGAUGUCAGCCAGGGACCCCAACUCCUCAGCUGCUCCCUGUCGCUCACACUGCCUCGACUGGGUGCUCCUCUGACUGUUUGCUCAGCAUCAUCCCUGCAGGUCCUUCGGAAACUGAGACCCCAUGGCCCUGCCUCCUGCGGGGACAGUGGCUACAACCCUGGAACCAAAUGCAGUCAGACAAAUUUCACACGGCCCUGGAGCCAGCGGUGGCUUCUCUAUUUUCCUUUUAUAAAGGGUUGCAAACUCCAGUAGGUCCUGAGAACAGGGAAGCCUGGCGCGCUGCAGUCCAUGGGGUUGCAAAGAGUUGGACACGACAGAGCAACUGACCAACAACAACAACGCAAAGGAUUGUGAAGAAGCAAGGUCGGCAGACAACGGAGACCGCCUGUGGGCCCAGAGUGCUACACUGCCGUCUGGCCCUUCCCGGGACACUGGGGUGGACCCCCUUCCCGGAUGCCCCGGGUGGACCCCCGUCUCCUGCCAGGGGGGCAGGACACUGUCACUGCCGUGGAGACACAGGUGGUCCCUUAGACUGUGGACCAACAAGGACGGAUGCGCCUGAGGAGGGCCGGAAUCCACUGAGGCGGGACACGCCCACAUCCUAGAAAGGGAGGCUGUAACGGAGAGAUGUGUGUCUGAAACAAAGACAGCUCUGGGAGAUGUCCUGAGGGGUGAGCAGAACCUCAGGGCAAGCAGUGAGAAGUCAAGCUGGUGAGAGAUUCACUGGAAACCCCAGAGCUGGAGGGGCCGAGCAGAGCCCAGGCCAGGUGAGCGCACGGGCCGGAAGCCUCUGUCCCCUUUGCUGACGGAACAGGGCUGCUGUGAGCGCCUCCCCCACGCCUGGCCGCGAACACCACAAGGGGGAUUGUCCCGCGAAGCCCAGACCCCGGCUCAGCAGGGCUGCUUCCAGCUGAGGCUUGAAGUGCCGCUCUGCGCCCUCUCCUCGGUGUGUGUGCGGCCGUCUCCUCCCUGCGGCCUCCUCACCCUCCCUGGGCCUGUGUUCAAGUUUCCUGUCUGUGAAGGGACACCGCCAUGCCGGCCUCCCCUGCAGCCUGGAGAGAUAACUGCUGUUCUGGAAACCAAAUAAACUCAAGCGUAACAACCGACCGGCAGACCACACGCUUCUGUUUGCUUGGGGUGUGCUCACCCAGCGACGGGGGUGACAAGGUUGGGUUCUCAGAAGCCUGGUACCCGGCCCGCUCCGCUGACCACGUGGGCGCCUGGUGUGCUCGGGUGAGCGUCCUGAGUGGUUUCCUGACUCGCCUGGUUGCUGGGUUUUGUCUUCUGUUGACUUUGAUUUCUUUUUUUUUUCGGGCCACACUGCACGCACAGCUUGUGGGGUCUCAGUUCCCGGCCGCCUCUGUGGAAGCAUGGAGCCCUAACCCCUGGACCCCUGGGGAAGUCCCAACUUCGAUCUGUAUUUCUGGAUUUUAAUCUAUUUCCUAUAAUACAGAAAUGCACGUUCACUAUGAAAAAUGGACGACCUUCUGCUCCAGGCCAGGACAUGGCUAGAUCACGUGAAGAUGGGGGUUUCGUGCUCGAGCAGUGACGUCGGGGCUGAUCCCGUCUCUGCCGCUCCGACAGCACCGGCGUGUGCCUGACCUGCACAACGUGCCCGCUUAGCAGAGCUGGGGGCAAAGGUCGUGGACAUCUUCUCUGACCCUGGCUAGGCAGUGAGCGCACACUGCAGGGCUACUGAUUCUAACACUUAGGUGCUGCUGUGUUGAGUAAAAGCCAGAUUCAGAUCAGAUCAGUCCCUCCGUCGUGUCCGACUCUUUGCGACCCUAUGAACUGCAGCACUCCAGGCCUCCCUGUCCAUCACCAACUUCCGGAGUUCACCCAAAC